rnacentral:rRNA from 1 species
AGUUCGAUCAUGGCUCAGAUUGAAGCCGGCGGGAUGCUUUACACAUGCAAGUCGAACGGCAGCACGGACUUCGGUCUGGUGGCGAGUGGCGAACGGGUGAGUAAUGUAUCGGAACGUGCCUAGUAGCGGGGGAUAACUACGCGUGAAAGCGUAGCUAAUACCGCUACGCCCUUCGGGGGAAAGCGGGGACCUUCGGGCCUCGCACUAUUAGAGCGGCCGAUAUCGGAUUAGCUAGUUGGUGGGGUAACGGCUCACCAAGGCGACGAUCCGUAGCUGGUUUGAGAGGACGACCAGCCACACUGGGACUGGAGACACGGCCCAGACUCCUACGGGAGGCAGCAGUGGGGAAUUUUGGACAAAUGGGGCCUUGAUCCAGCCAUCCCGCGUGCGAUGAAGGCCUUCGGGUUGUAAAGCACUUUUUGGCAGGAGGGGAAGAAACGAGCACGGGAUAAUACCCCGUGCAACUGACGGUACCUGCAGAAUAAGCACCGGCUAACUACGUGCCAGCAGCCGCGGUAAUACGUAGGGUGCAAGCGUUAAUCGAAUUACUGGGCGUAAAGGUGCGCAGGUUCGGAAAGAAAGACGUGAAAUCCAGAGCUUAACUUUGGAACUGCAUUUUUAACUACCGAGCUUUAGAGGUACAGAGGGAGGUGGAAUUCCGCGUGUAGCAGUGAAAUGCGUAGAUAUGCGGAGGAACACCGAUGGCGAAGGCAGCCUCCUGGGAUAACACUGACGCUCAUGCACGAAAGCGUGGGGAGCAAACAGAUUAGAUACCCUGGUAGUCCACGCCCUAAACGAUGUCAACUAGCUGUUGGGGCCUUCGGGCCUUGGUAGCGCAGCUAACGCGUGAAGUUGACCGCCUGGGGAGUACGGUCGCAAAAGAUUAAAACCUCAAAGGAAUUGACGGGGACCCGCACAAGCGGUGGAUGAUGUGGAUUAAUUCGAUGCAACGCGAAAAACCUUACCUACCCUUGACAUGUCUGAAUCCCGAAGAGAUUUGGGAGUGCUCGCAAGAGAACCGGAACACAGGUGCUGUACGGCUGUCGUCAGCUCGUGUCGUGAGAUGUUGGGUUAAGUCCUGCAACGAGCGCAACCCGUCAUUAGUUGCUACGAAAGGGCACCCCAAUGAGACUGCCGGUGACAAACCGGAGGGUGGGGAUGACGUCAAGUCCUCAUGGCCCUUAUGGGUAGGGCUUCACACGUCAUACAAUGGUCGGGACAGAGGAACGCCAACCCGCGAGGGGGAGCCAAUCCCAGAAACCCGAUCGGUGUCCGAUCGCAGUCUGCAACUCGACUGCGUGAAGUCGGAAUCGCCAGUAAUCGCGGAUCGCA